UUGCUACAGAAUGAAUCCUUGUAUUUGCUGAUUUAAACACUUGCUUUUAAAAAUGUUAUAUAGAUGCAGAUGUGGGGAUAAAAAAGAAAAAAUGGAGGAAGCAG